UUGAACGCUGGCGGCAGGCCUAACACAUGCAAGUCGAGCGGUAGCACAGAGAGCUUGCUCUCGGGUGACGAGCGGCGGACGGGUGAGUAAUGUCUGGGAAACUGCCUGAUGGAGGGGGAUAACUACUGGAAACGGUAGCUAAUACCGCAUAAUGUCGCAAGACCAAAGUGGGGGACCUUCGGGCCUCAUGCCAUCAGAUGUGCCCAGAUGGGAUUAGCUAGUAGGUGGGGUAACGGCUCACCUAGGCGACGAUCCCUAGCUGGUCUGAGAGGAUGACCAGCCACACUGGAACUGAGACACGGUCCAGACUCCUACGGGAGGCAGCAGUGGGGAAUAUUGCACAAUGGGCGCAAGCCUGAUGCAGCCAUGCCGCGUGUGUGAAGAAGGCCUUCGGGUUGUAAAGCACUUUCAGCGGGGAGGAAGGCGGUGAGGUUAAUAACCUCAUCGAUUGACGUUACCCGCAGAAGAAGCACCGGCUAACUCCGUGCCAGCAGCCGCGGUAAUACGGAGGGUGCAAGCGUUAAUCGGAAUUACUGGGCGUAAAGCGCACGCAGGCGGUCUGUCAAGUCGGAUGUGAAAUCCCCGGGCUCAACCUGGGAACUGCAUUCGAAACUGGCAGGCUAGAGUCUUGUAGAGGGGGGUAGAAUUCCAGGUGUAGCGGUGAAAUGCGUAGAGAUCUGGAGGAAUACCGGUGGCGAAGGCGGCCCCCUGGACAAAGACUGACGCUCAGGUGCGAAAGCGUGGGGAGCAAACAGGAUUAGAUACCCUGGUAGUCCACGCCGUAAACGAUGUCGAUUUGGAGGUUGUGCCCUUGAGGCGUGGCUUCCGGAGCUAACGCGUUAAAUCGACCGCCUGGGGAGUACGGCCGCAAGGUUAAAACUCAAAUGAAUUGACGGGGGCCCGCACAAGCGGUGGAGCAUGUGGUUUAAUUCGAUGCAACGCGAAGAACCUUACCUGGUCUUGACAUCCACAGAACUUUCCAGAGAUGGAUUGGUGCCUUCGGGAACUGUGAGACAGGUGCUGCAUGGCUGUCGUCAGCUCGAGUUGUGAAAUGUUGGGUUAAGUCCCGCAACGAGCGCAACCCUUAUCCUUUGUUGCCAGCGGUUAGGCCGGGAACUCAAAGGAGACUGCCAGUGAUAAACUGGAGGAAGGUGGGGAUGACGUCAAGUCAUCAUGGCCCUUACGACCAGGGCUACACACGUGCUACAAUGGCAUAUACAAAGAGAAGCGACCUCGCGAGAGCAAGCGGACCUCAUAAAGUAUGUCGUAGUCCGGAUUGGAGUCUGCAACUCGACUCCAUGAAGUCGGAAUCGCUAGUAAUCGUAGAUCAGAAUGCUACGGUGAAUACGUUCCCGGGCCUUGUACACACCGCCCGUCACACCAUGGGAGUGGGUUGCAAAAGAAGUAGGUAGCUUAACCUUCGGGAGGGCGCUUACCACUUUGUGAUUCAUGACUGGGGUG
rnacentral:rRNA from 1 species